rnacentral:rRNA from 1 species
UACAGAGGUCUCAAGCGUUGUUCGGAUUCAUUGGGCGUAAAGGGUGCGUAGGCGGCGCGGUAAGUCGGGUGUGAAAUUUCGAGGCUUAACUUCGAAACUGCAUUCGAUACUGCCGUGCUAGAGGACUGGAGAGGAGACUGGAAUUUACGGUGUAGCGGUGAAAUGCGUAGAUAUCGUAAGGAAGACCAGUGGCGAAGGCGGGGCUCUGGACAGUUCCUGACGCUGAGGCACGAAGGCCAGGGGAGCAAACGGG